CCUGCUGGAUUUUGGAUUCUUGAUACGUAUCAUCAACCACUCUCCAGAGUUUGGCCAGCUUCACGCUCCAUCAGUGGUCUCACCAUAGACCUUCUAAUCUUGAUUGUGUUGGCUGGUGUCUAUUUUCUAAUGGUGUUUGGUUUUGGAACCUGCAUUUCUUUGAAAAAGAGUGAGCAUGUGCAUUUUCCCAGAUGCCUGGUAUCCAACUGCACUUCUCCAUGUGUGCAUUGUCCCCUGAGCUGGCAAGAAGAUCCUACUAGUUGGUCUGCAUGCCAUGCCAGCUCGGCCUUGCACCCUGGGGGCCCAGCUGUUGUCCACACCAAGGGUGGCCUACAGAGGGAAGUGAGGACCUUGGGACUUCCUCCAGGACAGCCCUCGCUGUCCAAAUCUCCACCUGCUGCAGAGCUGCCUCCAGUCAAGCCCUUGUUUCCAGCUUUCUGUGCCCUAAAUAAACUUCUGCUGGGAUUGAGCCAUCAGCAUUCUGUGGUGGGCGUCGCUGCUGCGAGGUUGCCCUCGUGCACACAAGCUCCUCACAGGACUUCCAGGAUGAUAUGGAAGAGUGACUGAGAGCAGCCGCCCGGUGCUUCCCAACCUUAGAGGGAGGUCACGGGCAGUCUCCCUGCGAUGCUGGCCACAGGUGUGAGGAAGACAGUCCUUAUAGGAAAAUGCCCUCUCGUUCUUAUUCUCUACUUUAAAAAAUCUUUAAAUCAUGAGUAUAAUAAAUGUUAUCAAAUGCCAUAUUCCACAUCAAUAUAAUGAUUACAAUUUUUUUUUUGAGACAGGGUCUCGCUGUGUCGCCCAGGCUGGAGGGCAGUGGUGUGAUCUGGACUCACUGCAGCCUCGACCUGUUGGGCUCAAGUGAUCCUCUCACGUCAGCCUCCAAGUAGCCAAGACCACAGCUGUCUAUGAGCUUCAUCAAAUGGGCAGGACCACUUUCCCUUAACUUCUCCUUUUCUGGAACAACGGACAUAUCCUGUGGAUUAUCUGUUCCCCACAGGUUUGGGAUAUGGGUGCUGUGAAUGCCACUGUGCUGGGGGCUUUGGGAAGUGUGUGUUUGUUUUCGUGCGUGUGCGGUGGGAUACAGGUGUGGUUACUACUUUGAUUUCUUUCUUUCUUUUUUUUUUUUUUUUUUUUGAGAUGGAGUCUCACUCUGUUGCCCAGGCUGAAGUGCAAUGGCGCGAUCAUGACUCACUGCAACCUCCGCCUCCUGGGUUCAAGCGACUCUCCUGCCUCAGCCUCCAGAGUUGCUGGGAUUACAGGCACCCACAACCAUACCCUAAAUUUUGUACUUUUAGUAAAGAUGGGGUUUCACCAUUUGGCCAGGCUUGUCUUGAACUCCCAAUUACCAAUUUCUUAUGUGUCCUUUUGAAGACUUUCUAAGUACGACCAACCUAGUAAAGUGAGUCACCC
rnacentral:lncRNA from 10 species